rnacentral:rRNA from 1 species
AGAGUUUGAUCCUGGCUCAGAUUGAACGCUGGCGGCAUGCUUUACACAUGCAAGUCGAACGGCAGCACGGGGGCAACCCUGGUGGCGAGUGGCGAACGGGUGAGUAAUGCAUCGGAACGUGUCCUGUAAUGGGGGAUAACCUGGCGAAAGCCAGGCUAAUACCGCAUACGUCCUGAGGGAGAAAGCGGGGGAUCGCAAGACCUCGUGUUAUAGGAGCGGCCGAUGUCGGAUUAGCUAGUUGGUGGGGUAAAGGCCUACCAAGGUGACGAUCCGUAGCGGGUCUGAGAGGACGGCCCGCCACACUGGGACUGAGACACGGCCCAGACUCCUACGGGAGGCAGCAGUGGGGAAUUUUGGACAAUGGGGGCAACCCUGAUCCAGCCAUGCCGCGUGAGUGAAGAAGGCCUUCGGGUUGUAAAGCUCUUUCGGCCGGGAAGAAAUCGCGCCAGCUAAUACCUGGGGUGGAUGACGGUACCGGAAGAAGAAGCACCGGCUAACUA